rnacentral:lncRNA from 1 species
UGAUUGACUAGCUUCAUAAAAAUUAUCUGUAUUUAAAGCUACACAAUGGAAAAAUAUGAUUUUAAUGGAUUUUUACUAUGCUCUAUUGAAAUUUUAUGUUAUGAAUUUUUACUAUGCUCUACUGAAAAAAGAUAUCCUCUGAAUUCAGACACAGUCAGGCUUGCUUUUCAAUUCUGCUCAUAUGUCAGUGAUUAAGUUAUUCAUCUUUACUCUGUGUUCCUUUCAUAUGUGUAAAGUAGAUGUAGCUUACAUAUAUAUAAUUAUACCUAUAUAUCUAUGUCAUAUUAUAUGGGAUUAUUCAGCAUAAACAUAAAACACAUCCUUUAGCAAUAUCUUAGCACACAGUACUUGCUCCAAAAUAUUAUUUCCUAAACAGUGCAUUGUAUUAUCUGAUAUUUUUGUCUGAUAUUUCCUCACUAUAUCUAAAAUGUUUAUGAUGAUUAUGAAAAAUAAAUCUAAAUAUGAAAUGGUAUAAUUUUAAAAUUUCAUCCAAGUCAAUCUGUUUACAUUGCCAAAUGUGAAACCACCUUGGAAUUUAGUGGCUGAAAACAAUAAUCCUAUUAUUUGGUCAGGAGUUUCAGCAAUUUGAUUGGGCUCAGCUGAACACUUCUUCUGGUUUUCUCUCCUGGGGUAACCCAUGCAGGUGCAGUCAUCUGUGACUCAACUGUGACUGAGUGGUCAAAUAUAGCUGCACUAACUCUUCUGGUCAUUGCCAGUUGCUCCACAGGUAUUUUCAGCCUUCCGUACAAGAGAAUAAUGGUCUUUAAAUGUUGAUUUCAGAGAAACAUUUAAUAAGGGUGAGAAAAGAAGUCACAAAGCCUAGAAAUUUACAGAAUCAGUUUUGCAGCAUUCCAUUGGACAAAACAAGUCAUAGAGCCAGCCCAGUCUCAAGGAUUGAGCAAAUAAGUCCCAAUUUCUUGAUAAGAGAAUCUGUGAAGUCAUACUACAAAAUGAAGCAAGAAUUAUUCUGGUCUUUUGUGCAACUACUCUACCAUACCAAGGAACUGUUAUUUAAAAAUAUUUAUUAAUUUUUGACAUAUUUUAUGCAUUAUUUAUACAUCAUGAGUAAUUUUAAAAUAAUGGUUUGACAAUAAUUUAUUUUAUGUUUAUUAAGUUAAUGCUAAUCAUAAUCAUUUAAUAUGACAUUUUUGUGGGAAUUUAUAUAACCCAAAUUAUAUUUGAGUAUAAUACAUUAAUAUUAAUGUGCAUCAUUUAGAAUUAUGUGAUCAAAUUAAACUCAUUCCCAGAACUUUAUAUUUAUGUUCCUCAAUUACAGUAGCCAUGUAAUAUAUCAUUGUGACUAUUACACAGAGUACUAUAUAAAUCUUGCAUUAUCUGAUUGCAGUGAUAUUACUAUUAUUCUUGGAAGUCUUCAAUCAUUCAUAAAAGACUAUCUUCAGAUGACCUAAGGUAAAAGUUUUCUUCUUUUUUCCUCUUUAAAGCCAAUAACCAAACUGAGGGAAAGCAGGAGUAAGAGAAAAGAGGAGUGGAUACCACAGGAAGAAUGCACUCUCAGAAACUUAUUAGGGGCUGACAUUCAUUGAAGACAAAUCAAUGAAGAAAAUUAGAAAAAUAGCUCUUACCUCCUCUGGAGUAUUUGAAAUUAGCUAACAGCAAAUACCUUACUAAGGUAUUUAAACCAUAGGUUCUCAGGCUUAAUUAUGAAAACCAAAUAUCUCAAAGAUUAUUGAAAUAUAAUUUGCUGGGAUCUACCUUGAAUAUUCUGAUUCUUUAAACAUGGCAAACUACAUAGGUAUUUGAAAUCAUGCUCUCUGGGGAAGACAUAUGAGAUUUAUAAUUCCUGUAUUGCCUAUUGGUUGUGAAAUAUCAUAAAUUCUGACAUGUAAAACAGUUGUGUUUAAGCAUUGGUCAACCCUUGUUUUUUGUUUUUUUUUUUUCUUCUGAGACAAGCUCUUACGCUGCCGCCCAGGCUAGAGUGCAUUGGCGUGAUCUCCGAGGUUCCAGUGAACCCUAUUUCUUUCUUUUUUUUUUUUUUUUGAGACGGAGUCUNNNNNNNNNNNNNNNNNNNNNNNNNNNNNNNNNNNNNNNNNNNNNNNNNNNNNNNNNNNNNNNNGGUUCACGCCAUUCUCCUGCCUCAGCCUCCCGAGUAGCUGGGACUACAAGCACCCGCCACCACGCCUGGCUAAUUUUUUGUAUUUUUAGUAGAGACUGGGUUUCACUGUGUUAGGCAGGAUAGUCU